AUCAUUACCGAGUUUUACAACUCAUCAACCCUGUGAACAUACCUAAAACGUUGCUUCGGCGGGAACAGACGGCCCUGUAACAACGGGCCGCCCCCGCCAGAGGACCCCUAACUCUGUUUUUUUAAUGUUUUUCUGAGUAAACAAGCAAAUAAAUUAAAACUUUCAACAACGGAUCUCUUGGCUCUGGCAUCGAUGAAGAACGCAGCGAAAUGCGAUAAGUAAUGUGAAUUGCAGAAUUCAGUGAAUCAUCGAAUCUUUGAACGCACAUUGCGCCCGCCAGUAUUCUGGCGGGCAUGCCUGUUCGAGCGUCAUUACAACCCUCAGGCCCCCGGGCCUGGCGUUGGGGAUCGGCAGAAGCCCCCUGUGGGCACACGCCGUCCCUCAAAUACAGUGGCGGUCCCGCCGCAGCUUCCAUUGCGUAGUAGCUAACACCUCGCAACUGGAGAGCGGCGCGGCCAUGCCGUAAAACACCCAACUUCUGAAUGUUGACCUCGAAUCAGGUAGGAAUACCCGCUGAACUUAAGCAUAUCAAUAAGCGGA
rnacentral:rRNA from 1 species